UACAGAGGUCUCAAGCGUUGUUCGGAUUCAUUGGGCGUAAAGGGUGUGUAGGUGGCGCCGUAAGUCGGGUGUGAAAUUUCGGAGCUUAACUCCGAAACUGCAUUCGAUACUGCGGUGCUUGAGGACUGGAGAGGAGACCGGAAUUCAUGGUGUAGCAGUGAAAUGCGUAGAGAUCAUGAGGAAGACCAGUGGCGAAGGCGGGUCUCUGGGCAACAACUGACGCUGAGGAGCGAAAGCGUGGGGAGCGAACAGG
rnacentral:rRNA from 1 species